GGAGUUUGGACCGUGUCUCAGUUCCAAUGUGGCCGAUCACCCUCUCAGGUCGGCUACGCAUCCUCGCCUUGGUGGGCUGUUAUCUCACCAACUAGCUAAUGCGCCGCAGGUCCAUCCUUAAGUGACCCCUUGCAGGGCCUUUCAAACUGAAGAGAUGCCUCUUCUGUUGUUAUCCGGUAUUAGCCAAAGUUUCCUCUGGGUAUCCCAAGCUUAAGGGCAGGUUACCUACGUGUUACUCACCCGUUCGCCACUAGGGUGCAAGCACCCUCGUUCGACUUGCAUGUAUUAGGCACGCCGCCAGCGUCGUCCUGAGCCAGGAGUCAAACUACU
rnacentral:rRNA from 1 species